UGCUUUGUUGCAGGGCUCUGGUCUUUCUGGUUUUGGGGAUCCUGACUGCUUUUAAGGGCUGGAAGCUGUAAGGGCAGCAUCUCUGUAUGGAGGCUGCUUCCUUUGGGGUGUGGGCUGAGUGUUUGUUUUUGGGAUGGGGUCAUUGAUUUCUUAUGUAUUGCUGGAUUGUAAUUUCACUUUCUGGGGGCUGCUGACCACAUUUAAGGUCUGUCAGCAGAAGGAGCAGCAACUGCACCUGGAGGCUGCUUCCUUCAGAGCGUGGGGUGAACCCUUGAAACGGGGGCUGUGAUCUUUCCUGUUUUUGGGGCAUCCUGACCACAUUUGAGUGCUGGCAGAUGUAAGGGCAGCGUUGAUCUCUGGAGGCUGUCUCCUGUGGAGCAUGGCUCUGGUUCCCAACAGUGUGAUGAAGUGAAGCCCCUGCUCUGCUGAAUACUGGGACUGGCCCAGAGAGGCUCUGAUGGAUGUGGAUUAUCCCAGCUGGAGUACUUGGGACUUCACCUGACUGCCUCGACUUCUCAAAUACCACUGAGAGUGGCUCGGUGACUGCAGCACUGAAUUCCCUCAGAGCUCUGGGACUCGUCUCAUCAGGACCCAAAGACUCCUGGAUGCUCGGGUCCUCAGGUUGUCCAGAACCUGAUCUCUCAUCACA